rnacentral:rRNA from 1 species
ACGAACGCUGGCGGCGUGCUUAACACAUGCAAGUCGAGCGGUAAGGCCUUUCGGGGUACACGAGCGGCGAACGGGUGAGUAACACGUGGGUGAUCUGCCCUACGCUCUGGGAUAGGCCUGGGAAACUGGGACUAAUACCGGAUAUGACCUGCGCUCGCAUGGGGGGGGGGGGAAAGAUUUAUCGGUGCGGGAUGGGCCCGCGGCCUAUCAGCUUGUUGGUGGGGUAAUGGCCUACCAAGGCGACGACGGGUAGCCGGCCUGGGAGGGUGACCGGCCACACUGGGACUGAGACACGGCCCAGACUCCUACGGGAGGCAGCAGUGGGGAAUAUUGCACAAUGGGCGGAAGCCUGAUGCAGCGACGCCGCGUGAGGGAUGACGGCCUUCGGGUUGUAAACCUCUUUCAGCAGGGACGAAGCGUGAGUGACGGUACCUGCAGAAGAAGCACCGGCUAACUACGU